rnacentral:rRNA from 1 species
GACGAACGCUGGCGGCGUGCCUAAUACAUGCAAGUCGAACGCAGUGGGGACGGGUGAGUAACACGUGGGUAACCUCCCAUCAGAGGGGAUAAAACUUGGAAACAGGUGCUAAACCGAUACUGAUGGAUGGACCAGCGGUGCAUUAGCUAGUUGGUGAGGUAACGUCCCACCAAGGCCACGAUGCAUAGCGGACCUGAGAGGGUGAUCAGCCAAACUGGGACUGAGACAAGGCCCAGAAUCCUUAGGGGUGCAGAAGUAGGGAAUCUUCGGCAAUGGUGGGAACCCUGACCGAGCAACGCCGCGUGAGUGAAGAAGGUUUUCGGAUCGUAAAGCUCUGGUGUUAAGGAAGCGGUACUUAACCAGAAAGGGACGGCUAACUACGUGCCAGCAGCCGCGGUAAUUC